AUGUCCCUGCGAUGUGCGUGAUCGUGAUAAUGUCUUGAGCCAACGCUCGAUUCCAUGAAGAAAACGUCCUUGCCGGAGAUGACGACCUUCGGGGCCGACAGAACCAAGGCAAGGCGAUCUUCAACCCUAAUGGGAACGGGUCAAGACUUUCAAGACACGGCAUCCGCGGGGAUUUU
rnacentral:other from 1 species